rnacentral:rRNA from 1 species
AUUGAACGCUGGCGGCAGGCCUAACACAUGCGAGUCGAGCGGAUGAAGGGAGCUUGCUCCUGGAUUCAGCGGCGGACGGGUGAGUAAUGCCUAGGAAUCUGCCUGGUAGUGGGGGAUAACGUCCGGAAACGGGCGCUAAUACCGCAUACGUCCUGAGGGAGAAAGUGGGGGAUCUUCGGACCUCACGCUAUCAGAUGAGCCUAGGUCGGAUUAGCUAGUUGGUGGGGUAAAGGCCUACCAAGGCGACGAUCCGUAACUGGUCUGAGAGGAUGAUCAGUCACACUGGAACUGAGACACGGUCCAGACUCCUACGGGAGGCAGCAGUGGGGAAUAUUGGACAAUGGGCGAAAGCCUGAUCCAGCCAUGCCGCGUGUGUGAAGAAGGUCUUCGGAUUGUAAAGCACUUUAAGUUGGGAGGAAGGGCAGUAAGUUAAUACCUUGCUGUUUUGACGUUACCAACAGAAUAAGCACCGGCCAACUUCGUG